GCGUGGGAAUCUACCCUGAACUGCGGAAUAGCUCCGGGAAACUGGAAUUAAUACCGCAUGUGCCCUGAGGGGCAAAGAUUUAUCGGUUCAGGAUGAGCCCGCGUCCGAUUAGCUAGUUGGUGGGGUAAAGGCCUACCAAGGCGACGAUCGGUAGCUGGUCUAAGAGGAUGAUCAGCCACAUUGGGACUGAGACACGGCCCAAACUCCUACGGGAGGCAGCAGUGGGGAAUAUUGGACAAUGGGCGCAAGCCUGAUCCAGCCAUGCCGCGUGAGUGAUGAAGGCCCUAGGGUUGUAAAGCUCUUUCAGUGGGGACGAUAAUGACGGUACCCACAGAAGAAGCCCCGGCUAACUUCGUGCCAGCAGCCGCGGUAAUACGAAGGGGGCUAGCGUUGUUCGGAAUUACUGGGCGUAAAGCGCACGUAGGCGGACAUUUAAGUCAGGGGUGAAAUCCCGGGGCUCAACCCCGGAACUGCCUUUGAUACUGGGUGUCUUGAGUUCGGAAGAGGUGAGUGGAAUUGCGAGUGUAGAGGUGAAAUUCGUAGAUAUUCGCAGGAACACCAGUGGCGAA
rnacentral:rRNA from 1 species